UCUGGGGACGUUUGGGGCCCCGUGGUGCUGCUGUCCCCCGCAGGGCGGCACAGAGCCGUGAUGGCGCAGCGCUUUGGGGCCGACGUGGGGCGGCUGCGGCUGGAAGGCACGCGGUUCCUGGUGGAGGCUGCAGCGCUGGAGGAGGAGCUGAGGGCGGAGCUCUCCCGUGUGAGAUCAGCGGAGGGGGCGGGGCUUCCAGCGGCCACGCCCACCAUCUGACCCCACUGUCGCAAAAAGGCCAUGCUCGCACCGAAAAGCCACGCCCCCCGCGAGGCCACGCCCCUCUCUAUUUUGCAUUAAAGGCACCGCGUGCCCCAAAAUGUC